UACGUAGGGGGCAAGCGUUGUCCGGAAUCAUUGGGCGUAAAGAGCGCGUAGGCGGCCCUGUAAGUCCGCUGUGAAAGUCAAGGGCUCAACCCUUGGAUGCCGGUGGAUACUGCAGGGCUAGAGUCCGGAAGAGGCGAGUGGAAUUCCUGGUGUAGCGGUGGAAUGCGCAGAUAUCAGGAGGAACACCAAUAGCGAAGGCAGCUCGCUGAGACGGUAUUGACGCUAAGGCGCGAAAGCGUGGGGAGCAAACAGG
rnacentral:rRNA from 1 species